ACUGAAUAUGCAGCCAUGGAACUGCUAAAUCCGAGACUCCAGUUCCGGUCAAUCGUGUUUGUCAGCCUAAAUCACCCUUUGGCAACCCGACUGAACAAAUGCGAUGACGCGACUUGUGUAGCGAGGGGUUUUCCACAGUGGAACCUGUUGUUGUUUCUAAAACUU